AAGAAAGUGGCAGAGCGGUUAUGUGGUAGGCUUGAAACCAACUUAUGGGGGUUCAACUCCUCCCUUUCUCG
rnacentral:tRNA from 1 species